rnacentral:rRNA from 1 species
UGGCGGACGGGUGAGUAAUGUCUGGGAAACUGCCCGAUGGAGGGGGAUAACUACUGGAAACGGUAGCUAAUACCGCAUAAUGUCUGCGGACCAAAGCGGGGGACCUCCGGGCCUUGCGCCAUCAGAUGAACCCAUAUGGGAUUAGCUUGUAGGUAAGGUAACGGCUUACCUAGGCGACGAUCCCUAGCUGGUCUGAGAGGAUGACCAGCCACACUGGAACUGAGACACGGUCCAG